rnacentral:misc_RNA from 1 species
GUUCCAAACUGAAACCACAUCGCUGCACAAGGGAAAGUUUUACAAUAAUCACUUGAAGCAUGAAAUUAUGCAUCAACAGUGCAGACUCACUCAGAACCAGUCAACAAGACAUUAGAUAGGCUUAAACACGCUCAUACAAAAACUUAUAAUAAUUACAUUAAAAAAAAAAAAAAGUUUCCAGCAGUUUUUCGGCAACAUUAAAAGGGUGCUUUUAAAAGAAGAUAUUUUAUACUAAUAUAAUCCUCAUGCUUGAUUUACUUAUUCAUACUGGUGAGCUGAGCUCUGACCCAUCUCUGGCUAAUCUGUAAAAACAUCAUAGCUGAUACAGAAAAUGAUCAUAAGAAAAAGGGGUUUGAUCAUUCAAGGAAAAUCCAAUUUUCUCGCACAACCUUUGUCAUUGCACUGUAUUUCACCUCAUCAGGAAGGAAAUGAUAAUAUAAUCAAGAUCUAAUCCUUGGAUGUUAUCAUUCUUUACAUAAGCUUUUGAUCUAGAACCAAAAUAGUAGUGAACUUCCAGGGAACCUUCAUUGGGAUAAUUAUCCUUCCUUCUAGUAGAAAUGUUGUAAAAGAAUGUUCAACAUCAGCAAGAACAUGCAAAGAAUCAUAACUGCAUACCUAAUUUGACCCAGUGAGAAAAGGAUAAGAGAUAAGUAGGAACCAAAAUGCAGUGGACCCA